rnacentral:rRNA from 1 species
AGUGAACGCUGGCGGCAGGCCUAACACAUGCAAGUCGAGCGGCAGCGCGGGGGCAACCCUGGCGGCGAGCGGCGGACGGGUGAGGAAUACAUGGGAAUCUACCUUCUUGUGGGGGAUAACGUAGGGAAACUUACGCUAAUACCGCAUGAGACCGAGAGGUGAAAGCGGCGGACCGCAAGGCGUCGCGCGAGAAGAUGAGCCCAUGUCAGAUUAGCUAGUUGGUGAGGUAAAGGCUCACCAAGGCGACGAUCUGUAACUGGUCUGAGAGGAUGAUCAGUCACACUGGAACUGAGGCACGGUCCAGACUCCUACGGGAGGGAGCAGUGGGGAAUAUUGCACAAUGGGCGCAAGCCUGAUGCAGCCAUGCCGCGUGUAUGAAGAAGGCCUUCGGGUUGUAAAGUACUUUCAGCGGGGAGGAAGGCGGUGAAGUUAAUAGCUUCACCGAUUGACGUUACCCGCAGAAGAAGCACCGGCUAACUCCGUGCCAGCCGCCGCAGUAACAC